UGCAGGAAGCAGGCGGUUCUCUGCUCUCCAGGGCUCCUGACAGCCUCUCCCCUCUCCGUCUCCCUCCCUCUGUCUCUCACAAUCUCUCUCCCUCUCUUGCUCACUCUCUCACUCACACACACACACACACACACACACACACACACAAAGUGCAAAAUCAUUUCUAUCCUACUGGUACUUAAUUUGUACCUCUCUAAAAACAUAAGGAUUUAAAGAUACAGGCUGACGAAUUUCUGGCUGUUUCCUGAGACAAUCAAACAAAAAAACCCAACAAAACAACCCAGUCUGUCUUCAAAGAUUUCCAUACCUAAUUUUGGAUUCGGAGAGCUCCGGAAUUGUCUGAGCACGCUCACCAAACCCGAGGUCCACGCCUCCCGCCCCCACAGAUGGCCUGCACGCCCCGCUGAUGAUGCGAUUGCCCUUAACUAGAUGGAAGACAUGCCGGGGAGAACCGCUCAUAAACCCUCCUCCUCCCUGGAGAUGGCGUCUGAUUGCACCGCCUCUCAAAGAAGCGUGACUUCAGCUUGUCCUCAGAAUCUCUCCUGUGAGAAGUACCCAUCGGGAGCCCUGACAGUCUUGGUAUCUUGGAGCCCUGCCCCGCUCCCAGUCUGCGGCCUACUGGGAUCCCUGCCUGGAUCCCUACGGGUAUAGAUGAGAUAGUAAAAUAUCUUUGAAUCAUAGUCUGUCACAUUCCUCAGUGUGGAACAGAUGAAACUGUGCUAGUGCUGGUGUUUCUGUACUAGAACUCCACUUUAGUGUCUAGAUUCUUUGAUGUAGUGCCUUCCA